rnacentral:rRNA from 1 species
GGUUAAGCGACUAAGCGUACACGGUGGAUGCCCUGGCAGUCAGAGGCGAUGAAGGACGUGCUAAUCUGCGAAAAGCGUCGGUAAGGUGAUAUGAACCGUUAUAACCGGCGAUGUCCGAAUGGGGAAACCCAGUGCAAUUCGUUGCACUAUCGUUAACUGAAUACAUAGGUUAACGAGGCGAACCGGGGGAACUGAAACAUCUAAGUACCCCGAGGAAAAGAAAUCAACCGAGAUUCCCCCAGUAGCGGCGAGCGAACGGGGAGCAGCCCAGAGUCUGAAUCAGCUUGUGUGUUAGUGGAACGGUCUGGAAAGUCCGACGGUACAGGGUGAUAGUCCCGUACACCAAAAUGCACAGGCUGUGAACUCGAAGAGUAGGGCGGGACACGUGGUAUCCUGUCUGAAUAUGGGGGGACCAUCCUCCAAGGCUAAAUACUCCUGACUGACCGAUAGUGAACCAGUACCGUGAGGGAAAGGCGAAAAGAACCCCGGCGAGGGGAGUGAAAAAGAACCUGAAACCGUGUACGUACAAGCAGUGGGAGCACCUUCGGGUGUGACUGCGUACCUUUUGUAUAAUGGGUCAGCGACUUAUAUUCUGUAGCAAGGUUAACCGUAUAGGGGAGCCGCAGGGAAACCGAGUCUUAACUGGGCGUUAAGUUGCAGGGUAUAGACCCGAAACCCGGUGAUCUAGCCAUGGGCAGGUUGAAGGUUGGGUAACACUAACUGGAGGACCGAACCGACUAAUGUUGAAAAAUUAGCGGAUGACUUGUGGCUGGGGGUGAAAGGCCAAUCAAACCGGGAGAUAGCUGGUUCUCCCCGAAAGCUAUUUAGGUAGCGCCUCGUGAACUCAUCUUCGGGGGUAGAGCACUGUUUCGGCUAGGGGGUCAUCCCGACUUACCAACCCGAUGCAAACUACGAAUACCGAAGAAUGUUAUCACGGGAGACACACGGCGGGUGCUAACGUCCGUCGUGAAGAGGGAAACAACCCAGACCGCCAGCUAAGGUCCCAAAGUCAUGGUUAAGUGGGAAACGAUGUGGGAAGGCACAGACAGCCAGGAUGUUGGCUUAGAAGCAGCCAUCAUUUAAAGAAAGCGUAAUAGCUCACUGGUCGAGUCGGCCUGCGCGGAAGAUGUAACGGGGCUAAACCAUGCACCGAAGCUGCGGCAGCGACACUAUGUGUUGUUGGGUAGGGGAGCGUUCUGUAAGCCUGCGAAGGUGUGCUGUGAGGCAUGCUGGAGGUAUCAGAAGUGCGAAUGCUGACAUAAGUAACGAUAAAGCGGGUGAAAAGCCCGCUCGCCGGAAGACCAAGGGUUCCUGUCCAACGUUAAUCGGGGCAGGGUGAGUCGACCCCUAAGGCGAGGCCGAAAGGCGUAGUCGAUGGGAAACAGGUUAAUAUUCCUGUACUUGGUGUUACUGCGAAGGGGGGACGGAGAAGGCUAUGUUAGCCGGGCGACGGUUGUCCCGGUUUAAGCAUGUAGGCUGGUUAUCCAGGCAAAUCCGGAUAAUCAAGGCUGAGGUGUGAUGACGAGGCACUACGGUGCUGAAGUAACAAAUGCCCUGCUUCCAGGAAAAGCCUCUAAGCAUCAGGUAACAUCAAAUCGUACCCCAAACCGACACAGGUGGUCAGGUAGAGAAUACCAAGGCGCUUGAGAGAACUCGGGUGAAGGAACUAGGCAAAAUGGUGCCGUAACUUCGGGAGAAGGCACGCUGGUGUGUAGGUGAAGUCCCUGCGGAUGGAGCUGAGACCAGUCGAAGAUACCAGCUGGCUGCAACUGUUUAUUAAAAACACAGCACUGUGCAAACACGAAAGUGGACGUAUACGGUGUGACGCCUGCCCGGUGCCGGAAGGUUAAUUGAUGGGGUUAUCCGUAAGGAGAAGCUCUUGAUCGAAGCCCCGGUAAACGGCGGCCGUAACUAUAACGGUCCUAAGGUAGCGAAAUUCCUUGUCGGGUAAGUUCCGACCUGCACGAAUGGCGUAAUGAUGGCCAGGCUGUCUCCACCCGAGACUCAGUGAAAUUGAACUCGCUGUGAAGAUGCAGUGUACCCGCGGCAAGACGGAAAGACCCCGUGAACCUUUACUAUAGCUUGACACUGAACAUUGAGCCUUGAUGUGUAGGAUAGGUGGGAGGCUUUGAAGCGUGGACGCCAGUCUGCGUGGAGCCAACCUUGAAAUACCACCCUUUAAUGUUUGAUGUUCUAACGUUGGCCCCUGACCGGGGUUGCGGACAGUGUCUGGUGGGUAGUUUGACUGGGGCGGUCUCCUCCCAAAGCGUAACGGAGGAGCACGAAGGUUAGCUAAUCCUGGUCGGACAUCAGGAGGUUAGUGCAAUGGCAUAAGCUAGCUUGACUGCGAGCGUGACGGCGCGAGCAGGUGCGAAAGCAGGUCAUAGUGAUCCGGUGGUUCUGAAUGGAAGGGCCAUCGCUCAACGGAUAAAAGGUACUCCGGGGAUAACAGGCUGAUACCGCCCAAGAGUUCAUAUCGACGGCGGUGUUUGGCACCUCGAUGUCGGCUCAUCACAUCCUGGGGCUGAAGUAGGUCCCAAGGGUAUGGCUGUUCGCCAUUUAAAGUGGUACGCGAGCUGGGUUUAGAACGUCGUGAGACAGUUCGGUCCCUAUCUGCCGUGGGCGCUGGAGAAUUGAGGGGGGCUGCUCCUAGUACGAGAGGACCGGAGUGGACGCAUCACUGGUGUUCGGGUUGUCAUGCCAAUGGCACUGCCCGGUAGCUAAAUGCGGAAGAGAUAAGUGCUGAAAGCAUCUAAGCACGAAACUUGCCCCGAGAUGAGUUCUCCCUGAGACUAUAAGUCUCCUGAAGGAACGUU